rnacentral:rRNA from 1 species
UACGGGGGGGGCAAGCGUUGUUCGGAAUUACUGGGCGUAAAGGGCUCGUAGGCGGCCAACUAAGUCAAACGUGAAAUCCCUCGGCUUAACCGGGGAACUGCGCUUGAUACUGGAUGGCUUGAGAUUGGGAGAGGGAUGCGGAAUUCCAGGUGUAGCGGUGAAAUGCGUAGAUAUCUGGAGGAACACCGGUGGCGAAGGCGGCAUCCUGGACCAACACUGACGCUGAUGAGCGAAAGCCAGGGGAGCAAACGGG